UGUUGUUAUUGUAAUUUAAAUGUUGACUUUAUCGCCGUUAAUUUUUAUAAGCCUAUAACAGUUAUAGUAUUAGAUUUGGAAUACAGUUACUUGAAAGAUUAAGUGAGUUCGAAGAUACAGCGUAACCUAUUGGUUGUUCUACUUAUGAAAUGGAGGGAGAAUGUGUAACGUCACCAACUAGUAUACGGCAGCAAAAAAUUGAACGCCAAAAGCAACUUUUGGAGCAGAAACAAAAGCAGAAAAGACAGGCUCUUGGGAUGGUUCAAGCUUCUGACACUCGACCAGCAUCUGGCAGAGGUCGGAGAGGACCAAUACGUGAUGAAAUCAAA